UUAAACAACUGAAUGAACAUCCUCCGAGGCCGGUGAUUCCAUAAUUUUUGCCAGGUGUUGUAUACAGAAAAAAAUGAAUUUAACAGUGAAAGUACACUGGAAAAAUCAUUGGAAAAAUACACACCUUCAAUGCCUCAUCUCAGGGACCUUUGGUGGCUUUUGCGCCAUACAACCUCUCACUUGACUCCAAAGAAAGGCACAACUGCUAAACUAUUUGCUACUGUAUUUUCUAAGGUUAUACACUGACGAGGUAAGCAAAUGUUUGCAAGAAAACCUCAAAUCAUUUAACAAGACACAACCCUACCGUGACCUCAGAGCGCCAUGUCGGAAGGUGAAUCAAAAGGGAAUCUGUAUUUCAUGGAACAAACUGAGCUGAUAGGACGUGUGUCGGGACACACAUUAACAUUUAUCCCCCAUCAUCAUUAGCUCCACGUGAUAUAGUCGGGGCGUCAAUGCACUAUUUGUGUAUUUGUAUUUGUGCAGCCACACGGGGCGGCUGUGGGGCUAAUUUGUUUCCAAAGGAAUUAAUUAGGCAUUAUUGGGGGGGAAAACAAUGGAGCUGAGGCACGGCGUUUAAUGAUGGGAUGCCAAAGAGG